UUGAAUGAACUAUCAAAUUUUGAGUGUUUGUUGUUACUGAACAUUUGUACCAAAACAUGUUUUUAAUUUUUUAAUUAUGAAGCGAACCAAACCUCAGGUUUUUUGUUUUCCCACCUUGUAGAGCAUCGAGGUUAGUACAUUUAACACAAAAACGUGCUUAGCGGAAUGUUUGUUAAUAAGAGUUUUUUUUUAAAACUAACGUAUUGUGGUUGCUACUAUACAAAUGUUACCGUUUUUCGAGAGAAAGAAACUGGUGACCAAUGUCAGCAUGAAGAAAAUUAUCUCGUGAGAGUUAACACAGCGGAUUUUUGUCUCUUGCAUGACCCGUCCAUUAUAUUACAGAGCCCACAUUGAACAGCUGCUUUGAGCUACCAUUAGGUUUGUUCACAUUUUCCUUGUCACUGUAAAAUAUAUUUGUCAACGUUUUCCUGCAUUCCGUUAACAACACUACCGAGGGCGAAAAAUGGGAGAACAUUAAUGCAACACAGUUGGGAAGAUUCUCGAGUGAUGAAUUUUUGAGUGUGAAUUGAGAUCCGUUUUGAGGAUUAAAAGAGAUAUAGGAAAAGUAUCUAACAAUUAUUUCAUGAAACGGAGUGUCUAGACAAAAUCAAAGAAUUCAACACAUUGGUUGUAGUAGGAGUCUUUCAAGAAGAUAAGUAGGAGGAAAGCUUGCUUAGUGUAUGUACACAUUUAUGAGAGUCAAUCAAUGUAACGGUAACAUGAAAGGAAUUGCGGCAUCUAAUAUUGGGUUGCGUCUUAUACUAUUCAAAUAGAUUAACAUAAAAGUUUUUUUAAAUAAAUUAAAUCUUAUCUAUCUAAAACAAUUGUUUGUUGACUUUUUUAAAUGUUUUUGAGGAAGGUAAAAUGAAAAGUAUCUCUAUGGUGAGUACUAAGGGUCCCAUUUCACCGUGAUUUUUGUAGAAGAUUCACACAAUGGUAAGCACCACAGUACACCCAUUUCCCGUGAAUGUCCGAUUUAUCUGAAUACUAAAGCUUUUAAUGGUGUCAUCAUUUAAGAUUCCUCAAUUUUAAGUCGAGAAAAAACGGCUUGCUCUUAAAAUUGACAACUAGAUAGGACGCCUUGACGUGACGGCAUAGCAUGUAAAAAUGCACUAGUCGGUUAUGAUAAAAUGAAAGUUUUGACAAGCAAUAUACCUCUACACGUUAAAUUUUUUGUAUCGGUUUUUUUGCAAGUAAAAAUUGUCGAGUCAUCCUUUUUUUUUCUGAUCAAGAUAAGUCUGAGAGGCUUAACAAUUGUUUAAAAACCAUACUAGCUAACAAAAACUCGUGUUAUUUUUUUUUUUUUGUUAGGCCACGAGCGAAGGCACGACCGUUUUUCAUGAGAAUGGUUUAAAAAAAAACUAAUAAUGUGAAAAAAAAAGUUAAUCUAUUAUGCAUUCCUUUACUAA